rfam:Theileria parva strain Muguga apicoplast, complete genome, whole genome shotgun sequence.
GUAAAUAUAUCUAAAGGUAAGAAAAAAAAUUGUGGAUUUUUUGAUUAAGAGUUCGAUUCUCUUUAUUUACC